GUGAAUCAUCGAAUCUUUGAACGCACAUUGCGCCCCCUGGUAUUCCGGGGGGCACGCCUGUUCGAGCGCCAUUUCAACCCUCGAGCCCUGCUCGGUGAUGGGCCCCGUCCGCGAGGACAGGCCUGAAACUGGUGGGCGCCGUCGUCCGGCCCUGAGCGUAGCAAGAGAAAUCCCUCGCUCGGAUGCCGUCCGGUGGUAGCCCCGACCUAAAUUUACUAGGUUGGCCUCGGAUCAGGCGGGAAUACCCGCUGAACUUAAGCAUAUCAAUAAGCGGAGGA
rnacentral:misc_RNA from 1 species